UUUUUUAUUAUGAUUGUUUGACUUUGCAGUUGUGAACUUGACACUAAUUGAUCUUCCCGGGCUUACAAAAGUUGCUGUUGAGGGCCAGUCUGAUAGCAUUGUGCAGGACAUUGAGAAUAUGGUUCGGUCCUAUAUUGAGAAGCCCAACUGUAUAAUUCUUGCAAUUUCUCCUGCCAAUCAAGAUCUUGCUACCUCCGAUGCAAUUAAGAUUUCUCGUGAAGUAGAUCCCAAAGGUAAGAUUCCUAGCCAGAUGCAAUUUCUGCAAUUUUAUGGACUGUAUACCUAGUUGAAAUC